rnacentral:rRNA from 1 species
AUCUGCCUUGUGGUUCAGGACAACAUUGGGAAACCGAUGCUAAUACUGGAUAAGCCCUUACGGGGAAAGUUUUAAUGCCAUAAGAUGAGCCCGCAUUUGAUUAGUUAGUUGGUGAGGUAAUGGCUCACCAAGACAAUGAUCAAUAGCUGAUCUGAGAGGACGAUCAGCCACACUGGGACUGAGACACGGCCCAGACUCCUACGGGAGGCAGCAGUGGGGAAUCCUGCACAAUGGAGGAAACUCUGAUGCAGCGAUGCCGCGUGAGUGAAGAAGGCCUUUGGGUUGUAAAGCUCUUUUGUAGGGAAGAUAAUGACUGUACCCUAAGAAUAAGGUCCGGCUAACUUCGUGCCAGCAGCCGCGGUAAUACGAAGGGACCUAGCGUAGUUCGGAAUUACUGGGCGUAAAGCGCGCGUAGGCCGUUGAGUUAGUUAAUUGUGAAAUCCCAAAGCUUAACUUUGGAACUGCAAUUAAAACUGCUCGACUAGAGUUUGAUAGAGGAAAGCGGAAUACAUAGUGU